CCUACGGGUGGCAGCAGUGGGGAAUAUUGGACAAUGGGCGAAAGCCUGAUCCAGCCAUGCCGCGUGUGUGAAGAAGGCCUUCGGGUUGUAAAGCACUUUCAGUGGGGAAGAAAGCCUUGGGGCUAAUACCCUCGAGGAAGGACAUCACCCACAGAAGAAGCACCGGCUAACUCCGUGCCAGCAGCCGCGGUAAUACGGAGGGUGCGAGCGUUAAUCGGAAUUACUGGGCGUAAAGCGCGCGUAGGCGGUCUGAUAAGCCGGUUGUGAAAGCCCCGGGCUCAACCUGGGAACGGCAUCCGGACCUGUCAGGCUAGAGUGCAGGAGAGGAAGGUAGAAUUCCCGGUGUAGCGGUGAAAUGCGUAGAGAUCGGGAGGAAUACCAGUGGCGAAGGCGGCCUUCUGGACUGACACUGACGCUGAGGUGCGAAAGCGUGGGUAGCAAACAGGAUUAGAUACCCGGGUAGUC
rnacentral:rRNA from 1 species